GCGCCAGACUCCUACGGGAGGCAGCAGUGAGGAAUAUUGGUCAAUGGCCGGAAGGCUGAACCAGCCAAGCCGCGUGAAGGACGAAGGUGCCAAGCAUUGUAAACUUCUUUUGUCAAGGGACAAAAUCAGGCUCGAGAGCCUGACCGAGGGUACUUGAAGAAAAAGCAUCGGCUAACUACGUGCCAGCAGCCGCGGUAAUACGUAGGGGGCAAGCGUUAUCCGGAUUUACUGGGUGUAAAGGGAGCGUAGACGGCUGUGCAAGUCUGAAGUGAAAGCCCGUGGCUCAACCGCGGAACUGCUUUGGAAACUGUAUAGCUUGAGUACUGGAGAGGCAGGCGGAAUUCCUAGUGUAGCGGUGAAAUGCGUAGAUAUUAGGAGGAACACCAGUGGCGAAGGCGGCCUGCUGGACAGAAACUGACGUUGAGGCUCGAAAGCGUGGGGAGCAAACAGGAUUAGAUACCCUCGUAGA
rnacentral:rRNA from 1 species